rnacentral:piRNA from 1 species
UAGGUCCACCAGAAUCCCUUGAUGAUAUUC